rnacentral:pre_miRNA from 1 species
UAGGCGCAAAUAUGUAUAGAGUUGGAACAGCUUCCAUUCGUUUGCUGCUAGGGGUGCUAUUCCAACUCAAUACAAAUUUGAGUUA